rnacentral:rRNA from 1 species
CCUACGGGAGUCUGCAGUGAGGAAUAUUGGUCAAUGGACGAGAGUCUGAACCAGCCAAGUAGCGUGAAGGAUGACUGCCCUAUGGGUUGUAAACUUCUUUUAUAUGGGAAUAAAAUGUUCCACGUGUGGGAUUUUGUAUGUACCAUAUGAAUAAGGAUCGGCUAACUCCGUGCCAGCAGCCGCGGUAAUACGGAGGAUCCGAGCGUUAUCCGGAUUUAUUGGGUUUAAAGGGAGCGUAGGUGGAUUGUUAAGUCAGUUGUGAAAGUUUGCGGCUCAACCGUAAAAUUGCAGUUGAAACUGGCAGUCUUGAGUACAGUAGAGGUGGGCGGAAUUCGUGGUGUAGCGGUGAAAUGCUUAGAUAUCACGAAGAACUCCGAUUGCGAAGGCAGUUCACUGGACUGCAACUGACACUGAGGCUCGAAAGUGUGGGUAUCAAACAGGAUUAGAUACCCGAGUAGUC